rnacentral:tRNA from 1 species
GCCGCUGUGGUGAAAUUGGUAAACACAGAGCUUUCAAAAAGCUCCGACUUUAAGUCUUAUCGGUUCAAAUCCGAUCAGCGGCA